rnacentral:rRNA from 1 species
AGAGUUUGAUCCUGGCUCAGAACGAACGCUGGCGGCAUGCCUAACACAUGCAAGUCGAACGCCUGUAGCAAUACAGGAGUGGCAGACGGGUGCAAAACGCGUGGAAACCUAUCCUUGGGUUCGGAAUAACCGCGGGAAACUGCGGCUAAUACCGGAUACGUCCUACGGGAGAAAGAUUUAUCGCCCAUUGAGGGGUCCGC